rnacentral:rRNA from 1 species
GAUGAACGCUGGCGGCGUGCCUAAUACAUGCAAGUCGAGCGAACAGACGAGGAGCUUUCUCCUCUGACGUUAGCGGCGGACGGGUUAGUACCACGUGGGUCACCUACCUAUAAGACUGGGAUCACUUCCUUAAACCGUAGCUCAUACCGGCUACUAUUUUAAACCGCAUGGUUCAAUAGUGAAAGACGACUUUGCUGUCACUUAUAGAUGGAUCUGGGCCGGAUUAGCUAGUUGGUCAGGUAACGGCUUACCAAGGCAACGAUGCGUAGCUGACCUGAGAGGGGGAACGGCCACACUGGAACGGAGACACGGCCCAGACGCCUAGGGGAGGCAGCAGUGGGGAAUCUUGGGCAAUGGGCGAAAGCAUGACGGAGCAAAGCCGCGUGAGGGAUGAAGGUCUUCGGAUUGUAAAAUGCUGUUAUAAGGAAAGAAAAAACGCUGAAUAAAAGAUGGAGGACAUGACGGUACCGAAAGAGAAAGCACCGGCUAACUACGUG